rnacentral:ncRNA from 1 species
UGUCUUCGGGGCGGGGUGAAAUUCCCCACCGGCAGUAGAGUCUGCGAACCCUGGCAUGCCAGGGCCGAUCCGGUGCGAUUCCGGAACCGACAGUAUAGUCUGGAUGAGAGAAGGCG